GUACUCCGAAUGCUCUAGAUUAGAGUUUGAUCAUGGCUCAGAUUGAACGCUGGCGGCAGGCCUAACACAUGCAAGUCGAGCGGAUGACGGGAGCUUGCUCCUUGAUUCAGCGGCGGACGGGUGAGUAAUGCCUAGGAAUCUGCCUGGUAGUGGGGGACAACGUUUCGAAAGGAACGCUAAUACCGCAUACGUCCUACGGGAGAAAGCAGGGGACCUUCGGGCCUUGCGCUAUCAGAUGAGCCUAGGUCGGAUUAGCUAGUUGGUGGGGUAAUGGCUCACCAAGGCGACGAUCCGUAACUGGUCUGAGAGGAUGAUCAGUCACACUGGGACUGAGACACGGUCCAGACUCCUACGGGAGGCAGCAGUGGGGAAUAUUGGACAAUGGGCGAAAGCCUGAUCCAGCCAUGCCGCGUGUGUGAAGAAGGUCUUCGGAUUGUAAAGCACUUUAAGUUGGGAGGAAGGGCAGUUAAGUUAAUACCUUGC
rnacentral:rRNA from 1 species